GUUUCCUUACAGUUCAUCCACACUCCAAAAAGAAAUUUGUUGAGACUCAGACAGGAGGAAGUCCUGCUUCUUUUCAUGUUUGUCAGGACUACAAAGUGGUCUUGGCCCUGGCAUGAGAAAGCUUGAAUUAUAUGGGAUUUUUGAUUCCCACAGCUUCAGUCACUGGUGGAGUCUCUGCUCUGCCCACACAGGGAAGGUUUUAACCCAAGAUCUAUAAUCCUGUGCCAUAGCGUCAGCCUCAGGAAACAGAUGCAACAGUUAAGCCACAGUCAUAGACAAGGGGCACAGGAGCUAGUUCGGUCUUGGGUUCAUCUGUGGUGAGUGAGGACAAUUGGGCCAGUAACACUGUUCCCCCAAAUCUCCAAGCAGGCACCAUACAUCUGCUGGCACACAUCAUUUCUACCCUUGGAAAGAGAUGGGGAGAGACUGGCCCAGGGUUCCUUGAAUCUCUGAGGAAGAAGCCAGGCUGCUUGUGCAGAGGACAGUGCUGCUGCUUCCUCUGCUCCUGGCUGGGGACAGCCCUGCCCAUCCUUAAGCUAAUUAGAAGCUUCUACUUGUUAUAGCAGUGUGGGUUUUGACAAGGUCAUAAAUCAAUCACUGUCCUAGGAAUAUGAACUGCCAUAAUUGUGCACUGUCU
rnacentral:lncRNA from 1 species